rnacentral:rRNA from 1 species
GAUGAACGCUGGCGGCGUGCCUAAUACAUGCAAGUCGAGCGAACAGACGAGGAGCUUGCUCCUCUGACGUUAGCGGCGGACGGGUGAGUAACACGUGGAUAACCUACCUAUAAGACUGGGAUAACUUCGGGAAACCGGAGCUAAUACCGGAUAAUAUAUUGAACCGCAUGGUUCAAUAGUGAAAGACGGUUUUGCUGUCACUUAUAGCUGGAUCCGCGCCGCAUUAGCUAGUUGGUAAGGUAACGGCUUACCAAGGCAACGAUGCGUAGCCGACCUGAGAGGGUGAUCGGCCACACGAGAACUGAGACACGGUCCAGACUCCUACGGGAGGCAGCAGUAGGGAAUCUUCCGCAAUGGGCGAAAGCCUGACGGAGCAACGCCGCGUGAGUGAUGAAGGUCUUCGGAUCGUAAAACUCUGUUAUUAGGGAAGAACAAAUGUGUAAGUAACUAUGCACGUCUUGACGGUACCUAAUCAGAAAGCCACGGCUAACUACGUG